AGUUUGGGAUAGCCAUUGGAAACGAUGAUUAAUACCAGAUACUCCCUACGGGGGAAAGAUUUAUCGCUAAGAGAUCAGCCUAUGUCCUAUCAGCUUGUUGGUAAGGUAAUGGCUUACCAAGGCUAUGACGGGUAUCCGGCCUGAGAGGGUGAACGGACACACUGGAACUGAGACACGGUCCAGACUCCUACGGGAGGCAGCAGUAGGGAAUAUUGCUCAAUGGGGGAAACCCUGAAGCAGCAACGCCGCGUGGAGGAUGAAGGUUUUAGGAUUGUAAACUCCUUUUGUUAGAGAAGAUAAUGACGGUAUCUAACGAAUAAGCACCGGCUAACUCCGUGCCAGCAGCCGCGGUAAUACGGAGGGUGCAAGCGUUACUCGGAAUCACUGGGCGUAAAGAGCGCGUAGGCGGGAUAGUCAGUCAGGUGUGAAAUCCUAUGGCUUAACCAUAGAACUGCAUUUGAAACUACUAUUCUAGAGUGUGGGAGAGGUAGGUGGAAUUCUUGGUGUAGGGGUAAAAUCCGUAGAGAUCAAGAGGAAUACUCAUUGCGAAGGCGACCUGCUGGAACAUUACUGACGCUGAUUGCGCGAAAGCGUGGGGAGCAAACAGGAUUAGAUACCCUGGUAGUCCACGCCCUAAACGAUGGAUGCUAGUUGUUGGAGGGCUUAGUCUCUCCAGUAAUGCAGCUAACGCAUUAAGCAUCCCGCCUGGGGAGUACGGUCGCAAGAUUAAAACUCAAAGGAAUAGACGGGGACCCGCACAAGCGGUGGAGCAUGUGGUUUAAUUCGAAGAUACACGAAGAACCUUACCUAGGCUUGACAUUGAGAGAAUCCGCUAGAAAUAGUGGAGUGUCUAGCUUGCUAGACCUUGAAAACAGGUGCUGCACGGCUGUCGUCAGCUCGUGUCGUGAGAUGUUGGGUUAAGUCCCGCAACGAGCGCAACCCCCUUUCUUAGUUGCUAACAGGUUAUGCUGAGAACUCUA
rnacentral:rRNA from 1 species